UACGUAGGGUGCGAGCGUUGUCCGGAAUUACUGGGCGUAAAGAGCUCGUAGGUGGUUUGUCGCGUUGUUCGUGAAAACUCACAGCUCAACUGUGGGCGUGCGGCGAUACGGGCAGACUGGAGUACUGCGAGGGGAGACUGGAAGUUCCUGGUGGUAGCGGUGGAAUGCGCAGGAUAUCAGGAGGAACACCGGUGGCGAAGGCGGGUCUCUGGACAGUUCCGUGA
rnacentral:rRNA from 1 species